AUUUAUAGUUUUAUAUAGUUAUUUAUUUAUGAAAUGUACCCAUGUAUUCACUGACACAUUAAAAUUAAAUAUAUACAAAUAUCCAGAGAUCAAGUCCCUUACAUGUAACCCCAGUGUGUGGUCCUCGGGUAUGGAUACCCCCUGUUAAGAACCCCUGUCCUAAUCUAAACCUCCUCAUCCAUCUCCAACAGAGUUGAAAUAACAUUCUCUUGAAACACCACACUAUUUACUGCAAAUUUACUUGACAAGACCCAUUAAUAUUUAUUUUAUGUCUAUUUUGCAAGUUAUCAUGUUUUUUCAUUGUGAUUCAUGUUUCGUUUAGUUUUCUGAGCAUUAUAAAGGAGAUGGGAAGAUGUUUUCUUGUGAUAUUACGGUGUGUGCACAGUGAACAUUUGUGGUAUAUGCAUUACAUGCACCUAAUAGAAGGCACCACUUAGAGAAUGGCACAUUGCAGACACUACUAGAGGUAUUUUUAAGUGAUUUUUUUGGCUCCUAGCUCUGUUGCUUUCUGCCAUUACUUAUCAUCUGUUCUUUUUGUCUUUCUCAAGCAGCUGUUCAUUUUCCACAGGUUGACCUUACUUCAGUUUCAGUUUACAUAAUAGAACAGCCCUGAAAGAACUUUAUGAGACUCAGUGUGACUUGUUGGUUUCAUUAAAUGACUGUGGUAGAAAAAAGUAUUUACAUUACUGAAUUUGUUGAAUAAUGAGGACAGAAUUAAAACUGCUUAUCAGAGAAACAUCAUCAGUGACCUUCUGAAGGAUGUUCUUGAUAUGGAAAUCUUGGCCUUUGAGAAGAUAUAGUAUCUCACUUUAAUAUUUUGAUGAGAGUAACAAAUACAAACGGCUUACUUAGUAAGGUUAGUUUCACUGAAAUUAACCUUUUAAUGGCCUUUACCGUUGUCUUCACAGGUUUGUUGAGUCUUCUAAUAACCCAGCUAAUGAUCCAGUUGUCUUGUGGAUGAAUGGAGGACCUGGUUGUUCAUCUAUGGAAGGUCUCCUUGCUGAACUUGGGCCUUACAUUGUCAACCCAGAUGGGAAGACCCUAAGGGAAAAUACUUAUGCAUGGAAUACAGUUGCAAAUGUACUCUUCCUUGAAGCCCCAGCAUGUGUUUUGGUUAUUCUUACAGUGAAGAUGGGGGGACUGUUCUACCGGUGAUGAUGAAACUUCUCUGUCAAAUUAUAAUGCCCUAAAGGAUUUCUUCACAAACAAAGUGAAUGCAUGUGAUCAUUGCUUGCUGCAACAGGUGCUGUGUAAUGGGUGCAGGUGUGUCUUCAGCAAGGAUGUAUAGGUGCAGUAGGCCAUCCUUUUGAAUACCUAAGCAAGUUUGCUUAGGGUAUACAACAAAGAUACCUAAACAUAUGAAAGGCAAAAGAACAAAUUAGCACUUUAUUACCAAUAAACACAGUUUGAUUAGAUUAAUUAUUUGCAACUCUAAUAUGUAGUAGAUGCCAAUAAUGAACAGCAAUACAAGUGUAAUUAAAAUAAAGGAAAAUAUACUAAUGGCACUGUUUCAUAUAAUCAACACUUAAAAAUAAGUAAAAUAAAAAAAAAUCUGAAACAGUAUCUCAAUACUCAAACAUACCUACCUAUACACUAACCACAGAAUGACUUAAAUGAUUAAAGAAGUAUACUAGAAACAUUUGUAGUAAUACCUAAAAUUCUCACAGAUAGUAUUUGACAAGGGUGAAAUUCACAGUAGUAGUGACACAGGAAGUAGCAGACAAUGGCCCUAUUUUGUUUUGAAAAAAACAGAAGUCUAAGUUGAGAAGGUGGUGAUUAUCUGCAAUUAUAAAAAGGCAAGUGAGAAGGGGUGUUUAUGACCAGUGAUGAUUGCCCAGUAAAAUAACCUAAGGAAAUUAUAGUGAGCUGCUAUUAUUGACAAUUCCAGACACACAAAAUAUGAGGAGAGUAUUUUGUACUCACCAAUGGGUGUAGAUGGUACAGUUGGACACAGGUUUCCCUGGUACACCGUCAUGCGAGACUUCGAAAAAAUUACAUGGUAACAGUGUUUACUGAAGGAGAUGGGGGGAGAACCCCUUCUCUGCUAACAAGAGUUCCACCAAUAAGUUCUGGAGUUCGUUUGGUGGGCGGAGUUAUUAGGAAUGGUUGGAGAAAUACACACACACACACAUACACGGAGUAAAACAAAAUCUGAGCAGUUUAUAUCGUUGUAAUGAAGAUUGUUGUCUCACUUGUAAUAUAAGUUUGUUUAUUGAGGUCCAUUUAACUUUCGGCCAAGACGUUAUCUAUUAUUAUAUAUCGGUCUAUUUAUAUAUAUCGGUCAUAUUCAUUACACAAUACAUAAAAUUGAUCAACAUUUUAAAGUUAUAUUGGUAUUGCCGAAAAUCACGAACAUUAUAACAGGAUAGUUUAACCUUAUCACGUAAGCCAAGUUUACAGCAUUGGUUGCAGUGGGUUUCCUCUCUCUCUCUCUCUCUCUCUCUCGCUCUCUCUCUCUCUCUCUCUUAUACUAGCUAACUUAUAUAUAUCUCUCUCUCAGCUAUACUAGCUAACUUAGUGAUAAGAAAAACCCCUGCGCUCAGUAUGCAGUUCUGAUAUGUCAUUAGUGUAUUCAGGGGAGGAUCAGUGACCCAAUAAUAUCGAAGAUUGACCUUCCUGACAAUACCCAUAAGCAUAACCAAAGCAAAGAAAUUUCUCAUCUCUGAUACUGUAAUGUCAUAAACUCUUGUUCCCUUGAGUGUUCGCUUGAUAUAUUACCGUAUUUCAUAACAUGAAAUUAACGAUUGGAUCUCUCAACAGUCAGUUCCAUUAUAGAAUUAUUAAAAAUAAAUAAACAAAACUUUAUUCCUGAUAUACUAUCAUCAAAAUCGAAGAUGUGCGGCAAAAAAAUAUCGCCACCAAUCCUUUGCCACACAGGAUUAGCUGGUUUAACGUUUCUGACAACCUCCUAGGCCACCCUUACCUCCUCUCCACCGCGCAGUUCAUACAAAUGGAAGACGAGCAGUGUAAACGGCCAGCAAGAUCUCUAAUAAGGCACUAAGUAGCACAGAACCAAUAUCGAUACAAUAAGCUAUGAAGGCGCACAAAAUUAAAAACUUAAGAACGUCACAUGACGUAAAAAACAUGUGUGGGACGACUUCUGCAACACGUCAUUUGACGUGGCUGACCUUUUAAGGGUUAACUGUUGUUUUUUUCUAAAAUUAUGUAUGCACUGAUAUAUUAGAGACUAUAUAUUUCGUUGACCUCAGGUGAUAGGUGAAGUCAUUUGGGCUUUCCUUAUAGUGGCUGACAUAAAGAGAGUAUCAUCUACUGAAUUGACAGUUACCUUUUAAAAUGUCCCACAGAGCAGCAUAUGACCCCUAUACUCAGAAACGUCAACGACGGCCA